AUUGAGCGCUGGCGGCAUGCCUUACACAUGCGAGUCGAACGGCAGCACGGGAGCUUGCUCCUGGUGGCGAGUGGCGAACGGGUGAGUAAUACAUCGGAACGUACCCAGGAGUGGGGGAUAACGUAGCGAAAGUUACGCUAAUACCGCAUAUUCUGUGAGCAGGAAAGCGGGGGAUCGCAAGACCUCGCGCUCUUGGAGCGGCCGAUGUCGGAUUAGCUAGUCGGUGAGGUAAAAGCUCACCAAGGCGACGAUCCGUAGCAGGUCUGAGAGGAUGAUCUGCCACACUGGGACUGAGAUACGGCCCAGACUCCUACGGGAGGCAGCAGUGGGGAAUUUUGGACAAUGGGGGCAACCCUGAUCCAGCCAUGCCGCGUGAGUGAAGAAGGCCUUCGGGUUGUAAAGCUCUUUCGGCGGGGAAGAAAUGGCAACGGCUAAUAUCCGUUGUUGAUGACGGUACCCGCAUAAGAAGCACCGGCUAACUACGUGCCAGCAGCCGCCGUAA
rnacentral:rRNA from 1 species